GCGCCCGUAGCUCAGCUGGAUUAGAGCACCAGACUACGAAUCUGGGGGUCGGAGGUUCGAAUCCUUUCGGGCGCGCCA
rnacentral:tRNA from 1 species